rnacentral:rRNA from 1 species
UACGGAGGAUCCAAGCGUUAUCCGGAAUCAUUGGGUUUAAAGGGUCCGUAGGCGGGCCUGUAAGUCAGUGGUGAAAUCUCCCCGCUCAACGGGGAAACGGCCAUUGAUACUGCAGGCCUUGAAUUAUUGGGAAGUAACUAGAAUAUGUAGUGUAGCGGUGAAAUGCUUAGAUAUUACAUGGAAUACCGAUUGCGAAGGCAGGUUACUACCAAUGGAUUGACGCUGAUGGACGAAAGCGUGGGGAGCGAACAGG